AUGAAAUUUUAAUAGCCGCAGUCACCUGUGCUAAGGUAGCAUAAUCAUUUGCCUAAUAAUUAUAGGAUAGAAUGAAAGGAAGCACAUGUAGACUUCUUUAUUAAAAAAAUUUUUUUAAUUUCACUAAUAAGUAAAAAAUUCUUAUUUUUCAAAGGAGGACGACAAGACCCUAUCAAACUUUACAAUUAUGUUUAGCUGGGGCGGCAAAAAAACUAGAUCUUUUUUUAAAAAUUUUUUAAUACCAACCUAACUUUUGAUACUACUAAUGUUACUGUAGGGAUAACAGCAUUAUUUUUCCUAAAAGAUCUUAUAAAAGGGAAAGUUUUUGACCUCGAUGUUGAAUUAAUAUCCUUUUAGGAGCAACCUCUUAAAAAGAGAGUCUGUUCGACUUUUAAAUAAUU
rnacentral:rRNA from 1 species